rnacentral:rRNA from 1 species
UACGUAGGGACCGAGCGUUGUCCGGAAUCAUUGGGCGUAAAGAGCGUGUAGGCGGCCACUUAAGUCCUGCGUGAAAUCUUGCGGCUCAACCGCAAGCGGUCGUGGGAAACUGGGUGGCUAGAGUGCGGGAGAGGAGAGUGGAAUUCCGGGUGUAGCGGUGGAAUGCGUAGAGAUCCGGAAGAACACCGGUGGCGAAGGCGGUCUGCUGGGCAGAGCUGGACACUGAGGCGCGACAGCGUGGGGAGCAA